rnacentral:pre_miRNA from 14 species
GACCGCACGGGAUAAUCAAUUAUCCCGUGCGGUCCAGUAAGGAUGACCGCACGGGAUAAUCUGUUAUCUCGUGUAGUC